UCCGUGGUCUAGAGGUAACAUAAUUGCUUCGAAACCUCGGGGUCCCGGGUUCGAUUCCCGGUAGAGGAA
rnacentral:tRNA from 1 species